UGGGGGAANUUUUGNACAAUGGGNGAAAGCCUGAUGCAGCCAUGCCGCGUGUGUGAAGAAGGCCUUNNGGUUGUAAAGCACUUUCAGUUGUGNGGAAAGGUGGUAGUUUAAUAUNCUNUCACUGUGACGUUAACAACAGAANAAGCACCGGCUAACUUNGUGCCAGCAGCCGCGGUAAUACNAGGGGUGCAAGCGUUAAUCGGAAUUACUGGGCGUAAAGGGAKCGUAGGYGGYUCGAUUUAAGUCAAGAUGUGAAAKCCCMGGGCUCAACCUKGGAACUGCAUUYUGAUACUGUKGUARCUAGAGUACUGUGAGAGGRWGGURGAAUUUCCAGGUGUAGCGGUGAAAUGCGUAGAGAUCUGGAGGAAUACCGAUGGCGAAGGCAGCCUUCUGGCAUAAUACUGACACUGAGGCUCGAAAGCGUGGGUAGCAAACAGGAUUAGAUACCCUGGUAGUCCACGCCGUAAACGAUGUCUACUAGUCGUUGGGUCCCUUGAGGACUUAGUGACGCAGCUAACGCAAUAAGUAGACCGCCUGGGGAGUACGGCCGCAAGGUUAAAACUCAAAUGAAUUGACGGGGGCCCGCACAAGCGGUGGAGCAUGUGGUUUAAUUCGAUGCAACGCGAAGAACCUUACCUGGUCUUGACAUAUCUAGAAUCCUGCAGAGAUGCGGGAGUGCCUUCGGGAAUUAGAAUACAGGUGCUGCAUGGCUGUCGUCAGCUCGUGUCGUGAGAUGUUGGGUUAAGUCCCGCAACGAGCGCAACCCUUGUCCUUAGUACCAGCGGGUAAGCCGGGAACUYUAAGGAUACUGCCAGUGACAAACUGGAGGAAGGCGGGGACGACGUCAAGGCAUCAUGGCCCUUACGACCAGGGCUUACACACGUGCUUACAAAUGGUAGGGUACAGAGGGGCAG
rnacentral:rRNA from 1 species